UCAACAGUUCUUUUCAGAACUAUCAACAAUUCUUUUCAGAACUAU
rfam:Lasius niger Lnig_2.1_14788, whole genome shotgun sequence.